AAAUUGAAGAGUUUGAUCAUGGCUCAGAUUGAACGCUGGCGGCAGGCCUAACACAUGCAAGUCGAACGGUAACAGGAAGCAGCUUGCUGCUUUGCUGACGAGUGGCGGACGGGUGAGUAAUGUCUGGGAAACUGCCUGAUGGAGGGGGAUAACUACUGGAAACGGUGGCUAAUACCGCAUAACGUCGCAAGACCAAAGAGGGGGACCUUCGGGCCUCUUGCCAUCAGAUGUGCCCAGAUGGGAUUAGCUUG
rnacentral:rRNA from 4 species